UCUUGUAAAAUUUAUGUAAUUUGGUUCAAUUAGUAAAUUUGUAUUGGCUACUCAUUCACAUGUACCUUGUUGAGAAACUACAUCUAACAGAAAAGAUUAUGAUACACUGUGUCUCACAGGUAUUACAAUUUCUUGGGUCGCACCUUGGAAAAACUUCAUUCUUAACCACAUAUACAAAUAGUUAUAGACAUUUACCAACUCAUUAGUUUUUUCAUCAAUUGAUUGGCUCAUUGUUUCAUUCAUUUAUUCCACAUGUAUUUACUGAGCUCUUGAUUUGUAUCAACACCCCAUUGUAGUUGUUCACUGUAAGUAACAUUGUUUAAGUAAUUGUUGGUGAGGAAAUAAUAUUCUCCUAAGUGACCAGCUAAUAGCCUGAGUAAUUCCCUUGGACUAUCGUCUCAGUGUAAUUACAGAGAUUUCUGCAAUAGAGAGAAUCUGACAGAUUAAAAACUCAGUCAUGGACCUGAAAAUAGUAUGUUUGAAAACCAAUUCAGAGGCACAGCUUGGUUGUCUUUGGUUAGCCCACCAGACUAUUGGUUCUUAACAAUAUCAAGAAAUCCAACUAGGGCUGAAGUCUUAGGUUUUUACAGUGAUUCCAGUGAUAAGACAAUAAAUGGUAACAGGGCUAGAGUUGCUCAGGGAAGAAAAUCCACAGAUCCUGAAUGAGUCUGAGGUAUCUCCUUUGUGACAAGUCCAUCCAGUGUAGCUCCUGGCCCCAGUGUGUGGCUCUGGUGUUCCUAGAGGUGGGGACUCCCUGGUG
rnacentral:lncRNA from 1 species